rnacentral:rRNA from 1 species
GACGAACGCUGGCGGCGUGCUUAACACAUGCAAGUCGAACGGUGAAGCGCCUUCCUUUUUGGUGGGUGUGGAUGAGUGGCGAACGGGUGAGUAACACGUGAGUAACCUGCCCCCUUCUUCUGGAUAACCGCAUGAAAGUGUGGCUAAUACGGGAUAUUCUGGGUCUGUCGCAUGAUGGGUCUGGGAAAGAUAUUGUUUCGGUGGGGGAUGGGCUGGCGGCCUAUCAGCUUGUUGGUGGGGUGAUGGCCUACCAAGGCGGUGACGGGUAGCCGGCCGGAGAGGGGGACGGGCCACACUGGGACGGCGGGACGGGCCGGACUGCGACGUGAGGGAGCAGGGGGGAAGAGGGCAGAAUGGGUGGAGGCCGGGUGCAGGAACGGCGCGUGCGGGAGGACGGUCUGCGGGUGGUAAACAGGUGGCGCCGGUGACGAAGCGGGAGUGACGGGAAGGGGUAAAGAAGCAACGGCUAACUACGUG